UACAGAGGUCCCAAGCGUUGUUCGGAUUCAUUGGACGUAAAGGGUGUGUAGGUGGCGCCGUAAGUCGGGUGUGAAAUUUCGGAGCUUAACUCCGAACCUGCAUUCGAUACUGCGGUGCUUGAGGACUGGAGAGGAGACUGGAAUUCAUGGUGUAGCAGUGAAAUGCGUAGAGAUCAUGAGGAAGACCAGUGGCGAAGGCGGGUCUCUGGACAGUUCCUGACGCUGAGGCACGAAGGUCAGGGGAGCAAACGGG
rnacentral:rRNA from 1 species